UGGCCUUACACAAUUGUUCUGGCUGAGACAAGAAGGAUGAACCUACAGAUUCCACUGGCCAGCAGCCACCAGUCGUUGGAAAGGUCUUACCCCUGGUGAAGUUGGGUGAAGCAGCUCCCUUCUGCCAAGAGCAGUGUCCUGAGAAGUACUCAGUUCCAGUUCUGGAGAAUGGUUUGGCUCUUAAUGUGAGAAAGGCUCCUCAAAGCACAUGGAUGGUAUGCUUGGUGGAAGGGAAGUUGAACGCAUACUACAACUUGGCAAAGAAGACAUAGAAACUCAAGGUACAUCCAUCUCAGGAAAACUGCAUGGAAAGUCAAAUCAUCAGACAGUGGCUGGAUUUACGUGGAAAACGGCUUGGUCAUUUCAUUGAAUUGAUUCUAUUCACAGAAGGGACUAUAUUCUACGCAAUUGCUAUUUCUGAGAAGUAACCUAGAAACUUACAUAAGUUGGGCAAGGCACAUCUCCCCUGGAUAAAGAGUUCUUUGAUGGAAUCUGGCAAUAAUGUAUGAUUCUUCUUCUCUAUAACUCC